rnacentral:rRNA from 1 species
GCUAAUCUGCCCUUAGGACGAGAACAACCCCGGGAAACUGGGGCUAACUCUUGAUAGGCGAAGAACUCUGGAAUGAGUCUUUACCUAAAUAGAUUCACGUUAUCCUCGUGAACCUGCCUAAGGAUGAGGCCGCGACCGAUCAGGUUGUUGGCGAGGUAAUGGCUCACCAAGCCUUUUACCGGUGCGGGCCGUGGGAGCGGGAGCCCGGAGAUGGGUACUGAGACAAGGACCCAGGCCCUACGGGGCGCAGCAGUCGCGAAACCUUUGCAAUAAGCGAAAGCUUGACAGGGCUAUCCCGAGUGCCAUCCGCUGAGGAAGGCUUUUACCCAGUCUAGAACGCUGGGGGAAUAAGGAGAGGGCAAGUCUGGUGUCAGCCGCCGCGGUAAUACCAGCUCUCCGAGUGGUGUGGAUGUUUAUUGGGCCUAAAGCAUCCGUAGCUGGCUAAGUUAGUCCCUUGUUAAAUCCACCGAAUUAAUCGUUGGAUCGCGGGGGAUACUGCUUGGCUAGGGGACGAGAGAGGCAGACGGUAUUUUCGGGGUAGGGGUGAAAUCCUAUAAUCCCCGGAAGACCACCAGUGGCGAAGGCUGUCUGCUAGAACGCGCCCGACGGUGAGGGAUGAAAGCUGGGGGAGCGAACCGGAUUAGAUACCCGGGUAGUCCCAGCUGUAAACGAUGCAGACUAGGUGUUUGGACGGCCACGUGCCGUUCUAGUGCCGCAGGGAAGCUGUUAAGCCUGCCGCCUGGGGAGUACGAUCGCAAGAU